GGCAGCUGCAAGGAUGAUUCAUUUAAUCCCAGCUCAUUAUGAGACCUUAGAAAGGUCUGGGAUAUGCCAUUAUAAUUUAAUCUGAGCUGCG